rnacentral:rRNA from 1 species
UACGGAAGGCAGCAGUGGGGAAUAUUGCACAAUGGGCGAAAGCCUGAUGCAGCUAUGCCGCGUGUAUGAAGAAGGCCUUAGGGUUGUAAAGUACUUUCAUCGGGGAGGAAAAAACAAACUAAUAAUUUUAUUUCUUGACGUUACCCGAAAAAGAAGCACCGGCUAACUCCGUGCCAGCAGCCGCGGUAAUACGGAGGGUGCUAGCGUUAAUCAGAAUUACUGGGCGUAAAGAGCACGUAGGUGGUUUUUUUAAGUCAGAUGUGAAUCCCUGGGCUUAACCUAGGAACUGCAUUUUGAAACUGAAAUACUAGAGUAUCGUAGAGGGAGGUAGAAUUCUAGGUGUAGCGGUGAAAUGCGUAGAUAUCUGGAGGAAUACCUGUGGCGAAAGCGGCCUCCUAAACGAAUACUGACACUGAGGUGCGAAAGCGUGGGGAGCAAACAGGGAUUAGAUACC